UACGGAGGGUGCAAGCGUUAUCCGGAUUCACUGGGUUUAAAGGGUGCGUAGGAGGGCAGGUAAGUCAGUGGUGAAAUCUCCAAGCUUAACUUGGAAACUGCCGUUGAUACUAUCUGUCUUGAAUAUUGUGGAGGUGAGCGGAAUAUGUCAUGUAGCGGUGAAAUGCUUAGAUAUGACAUAGAACACCAAUUGCGAAGGCAGCUUACUACGGAUUGAUUGACACUGAGGCACGAAAGCGUGGGGAUCAAACAGG
rnacentral:rRNA from 1 species